rnacentral:rRNA from 1 species
GAUGAACGCUGGCGGCGUGCCUAAUACAUGCAAGUCGAGCGAAUGGAUUAAGAGCUUGCUCUUAUGAAGUUAGCGGCGGACGGGUGAGUAACACGUGGGUAACCUGCCCAUAAGACUGGGAUAACUCCGGGAAACCGGGGCUAAUACCGGAUAACAUUUUGAACCGCAUGGUUCGAAAUUGAAAGGCGGCUUCGGCUGUCACUUAUGGAUGGACCCGCGUCGCAUUAGCUAGUUGGUGAGGUAACGGCUCACCAAGGCAACGAUGCGUAGCCGACCUGAGAGGGUGAUCGGCCACACUGGGACUGAGACACGGCCCAGACUCCUACGGGAGGCAGCAGUAGGGAAUCUUCCGCAAUGGACGAAAGUCUGACGGAGCAACGCCGCGUGAGUGAUGAAGGCUUUCGGGUCGUAAAACUCUGUUGUUAGGGAAGAACAAGUGCUAGUUGAAUAAGCUGGCACCUUGACGGUACCUAACCAGAAAGCCACGGC